rnacentral:rRNA from 1 species
GACAGAGGUGCCGAGCGUUAGGCGGAAUCACUGGGCUUAAAGCGUGUGUAGGCGGAUUUGUAAGUACCUUGUGAAAUCCCACGGCUCAACCGUGGAACUGCUUGGUAUACUGCUUAUCUUGAGCCACUUAGGGGCAGUCGGAACAGACGGUGGAGCGGUGAAAUGCGUAGAUAUCAUUUGGAACGCCAAUGGUGAAAACAGGUAGCUGGGGCUGUGCUGACGCUGAGACACGAAAGCCAGGGGAGCAAACGGG